rnacentral:rRNA from 1 species
GACGAACGCUGGCGGCGUGCUUAACACAUGCAAGUCGAACGCUGAAGCUCAGCUUUUGUUGGGUGGAUGAGUGGCGAACGGGUGAGUAACACGUGAGUAACCUGCCCCCUUCUUUGGGAUAACGCCCGGAAACGGGUGCUAAUACUGGAUAUUCACUGGUCUUCGCAUGGGGGUUGGUGGAAAGGGUUUUUCUGGUGGGGGAUGGGCUCGCGGCCUAUCAGCUUGUUGGUGGGGUGAUGGCCUACCAAGGCUUUGACGGGUAGCCGGCCUGAGAGGGUGAACGGUAACAUUGGGACUGAGAUACGGCCCAGACUCCUACGGGAGGCAGCAGUGGGGAAUAUUGCACAAUGGGCGCAAGCCUGAUGCAGCGACGCCGCGUGAGGGAUGGAGGCCUUCGGGUUGUGAACCUCUUUCGCUCAUGGUCAAGCCGCAACAAUGGUUGUGGUGAGGGUAGUGGGUAAAGAAGCGCCGGCUAACUACGUG